AACGAACGCUGGCGGCAGGCUUAACACAUGCAAGUCGAGCGCCCCGCAAGGGGAGCGGCAGACGGGUGAGUAACGCGUGGGAAUCUACCCAUCUCUACGGAAUAACGCAUGGAAACGCGUGCUAAUACCGUAUACGUCCUUCGGGAGAAAGAUUUAUCGGAGAUGGAUGAGCCCGCGUUGGAUUAGCUAGUCGGUGGGGUAAAGGCCUACCAAGGCGACGAUCCAUAGCUGGUCUGGGAGGAUGAUCAGCCACACUGGGACUGAGACACGGCCCAGACUCCUACGGGAGGCAGCAGUGGGGAAUAUUGGACAAUGGGCGCAAGCCUGAUCCAGCCAUGCCGCGUGAGUGAUGAAGGCCCUAGGGUUGUAAAGCUCUUUCACCGGUGAAGAUAAUGACGGUAACCGGAGAAGAAGCCCCGGCUAACUUCGUGCCAGCAGCCGCGGUAAAAC
rnacentral:rRNA from 1 species